CACUGGGAUGUGUUUCGGACAAUUACAGAAGUUUUUAUCCUGGUUCCUGCCUUGGUUGGCCUGAAGGGUAAUCUCGAGAUGACACUGGCAUCCAGGCUCUCCACUGCUGCUAACACCGGACAGAUGGAUGAUGCGCAGAAGCAAUGGAAAAUGGCCACCUGCAAUUUAGCCCUUAUCCAGGUCCAGGCCACCGUGGUGGGACUUCUGGCUGCUGUUGCUGCUGUGAUCCUGGGAGCCAUCUCCAAGGGCUCGGUGGAGCUGAGCCAGGCUGCCGUGCUGUGUGCCAGCAGCGUGACCACGGCCUUCAUAGCUGCACUUUCUCUCGGUCUGGUAAUGAUUGGAGUGAUCAUCGGAGCAAGGAAAGUUGGGAUCAAUCCAGACAAUGUUGCCACACCCAUAGCAGCAAGCCUGGGAGACUUGAUAACCCUUUCCCUGCUGGCGGGAAUCAGCAGCACACUCUUCAAAUACAUAGAUAUGAAAUACCUUUCUCCUCUGAUCUGUGUUGUCUUCAUUGUCAUGAUCCCCCUCUGGGUUGCUAUCGCCAAGCAAAGUCCUUCCCUUGCCGAAGUCCUGAAGUCUGGAUGGCAGCCGGUCAUUGUUGCAAUGAGCAUCAGCAGCAUCGGUGGGCUCAUCUUGGACAAAACUGUAACUGAUCCAAACUUCGAAGGCAUGGCCGUUUUCACACCUGUGAUUAACGGUGUUGGAGGGAAUCUGGUCGCCAUCCAGGCCAGCCGUAUUUCCACAUUCCUGCACUUCUGGAGCAUGCCUGGAGUUUUGCCGUACAAGAUGAGGCAGAAUUGGCCCAACCCAUGCACCACAUUCUUCUCAUCAGAGGUGAAUUCCAAGUCAGCCCGAGUCCUGUUCCUCCUGGUUGUCCCAGGGCACCUGGUGUUCCUCUACACCAUCCAUCUGCUGCAGGGGGGCCACACGUCUCUGUCCUUCACCUUUGUGAUGUUCUAUCUGACUGCUGCUUUGCUGCAGGUGGGAAUCCUGCUCUACGUGGCUGAUCUAAUUGUGCGCCUGAUGUGGAGGAAGGCGCUGGACCCCGAUAAUUUCUCCAUCCCCUACCUCACUGCCCUGGGCGACCUCCUGGGCACCGGAUUCCUUGCCGUCUGUUUCCGCCUGGUCUGGCUCGUCCACGGCGCAGACAUGAACCUGGGCAACUGAGAGACCAAGUGCUGCUCUGCAUCAUUCGUGCGACACGGUGCUUUCCUCUGGGACAACGGGGUACCCUCGUGAUGAGUGCUGGGUCACCUGGCUGGAUUAGGCCCCCCUUGUUGCCCCUGCACCCUCUCUCUCCUCUCCAUUGUGCCUUACAGCUGGGCUCACCCGCUCCAAGGAAUCAGCACCCACAGACUUGCACCCUCGCAAGUCAGCAAGCCGGUUUUAAGCAGUGCCCGCUGCUCACACCUGUGCCCGACAAACAAGGCGUUAAGGAGCAUUUGGGCUAUUUGUAAUGAAUGAGCAUUUUGAUGGGUUUCAAGCACCAACAGCCUGCGAGGCUGCUCCAAAGCCGAGGUCACUGCAUCCGAUCCUGCAAGUGGAUGUCACAACCUCUCCAUUGGACUCUGACUUUCCAUCAGGAGAAGUUCUUUAUUCACCCCCUUUUCUCUCCUGUCACAUCCCUGCACGAGGGGGGCAACCAGGUCUUUAAACUUGUCUCAUCUCCAUCGCUCAGACAACUCAGGAUCUGACGCAGUGAGCUCCUCGCUGGCUUGUGCCCAGCAGGAGGUUAUCUAGGGAUACCACCCACCUGUGCUGGCAGCAUCACUGCUGUCUGACCAACAGGCUGGAUUGAUUGCAUUUUCGGCAUAGGAAGGUUUGUUUUUACGGUUUAUGGAAUGUCCAGUAGCUAAAAUGUUUAUAGAAACAACACGCACAAAUAAAGUGGUUAAAAAAAAAAAGGUAAUGCUGUGGAUUUGGGGUGUUUUUUUCUUGCCAUGGCUCUGCCUGUUUCUAGUAUGAGCUUGUCAGGUAGAACUUCUUGCUCACUUCUUUCUCACUCAUUUGUGGUUGGACAGGACAGUUUUAACAGGGCUUCAGGAAAAUCAGUGUUUCCUAACCAGGAGCAGCGUUCUGCAGCCCAUAUGUUUCAGGUUAGCAUUAAAGCCCCUACCUUCUCCCACAGUUGCCACCCACUAAUUAACAAUUGCUCUGCAAUGAGUCUACGAUCUUCAUGUGUGCAUAAGGACUGUGCUGGGCUGGGUGAGGGUUUGGCGUGAGGAUUUGGCAAACAGUUCCUUAGGUCCUCACUCCAAGGUGGCUAUUCCGUGCUACCAGGAACAGGUUAAGGAGGCUUGUGGGGCUGAAAGCAGCCAGUUCUCACUGAAAUCAAAGAAGCAGGGUUCUCCAGAUAAGAUGCCGAAGAAUCAGGAGUUGAGGACACUGUUAAAUGCUUAAAUUAGAGCUGUGUUGGGUGCCUGUUGGCCUUGGGUGUUUCUCUGCUCCUGGUGCUGCUCCGAUCUCCCAGAGCUGCUGCAAAGCUGAGGCCCCUGCGCAGGAUUGACAUGUGGCUGAAGGUCCCUACCAAGAAAAGUUGGGCCACCAGGCUUGGGGAAAAACCCUCCCUGAAAAAAAAAAUGAGCUGUCACCUUCCUCCUCUCCAAGCCUGCUCCUCUCUUCCUUUUCUGUUACGACAGAUAAAUUAUCUCAUGCUGGCUGAGCCGAAGAGGAUGCGCACCUCAGCUUCUUAGUGGGGAGAUUUCAGCAUUCGAAGCACACGCUCCCCCUCGUCUUGGGCCCUUUUUUAUCUCUCGCUGCAGCCCGUGUGCUCUCAGCUCCGCUGGGCUGCGCCGCCCUCGGCCCCGAGCACCCGCGGGGGAUUACUGCAGCAGCAGCAGCUGAGGGGGCUGGUGGGGAAAGCAAAGCAAACGUCUGAUUGCUGGUCCCAGUUUGAGAGGGGGCUGCAUUAGGAGAUACAUAAGUAUAUAUUUGAAUAACUUGAGCUUAGCGUUUUAUUUUGUAAACCUUUAUUAGCGCCAGUUUGGCGCUGGCUCCUGCAGUCCUGGCACAUAACUCCUGGAAAAUAACUCCUCCGGCCUCAAGACUGUCUUUUCUCCUCCUCGCUGCAUGUCCUCACUGUGCUGGAGAUGUCCUCUCUGGACCUUGGUGCUUUUGCUGCUGGUGUGAAUCAGCAUCAGCUCCGAGUGUCCAACCCUCAGUUGCUCCUCUGCCAUGUGAUUGCGACAAAACCCAAGCACUGUUGCUUCCUUUCGUCGGGGGAUUUCUGGGCAGAGUUUGGCUUGUUCUCCUUGUUGCUACUGACAGAGUACACGGAUGGGAACAGAAAAAGGGCCUUUGCUAACAAAGGUUAUAUGCGAUCCUGGAGCAUGGUUUGGAUCAGUGUUACUGUAACUCCACCUGAACCUGCUUCUCCAAUGAAGCCGUCCCAGUGGUGGCACUGAGCUCAGUCCUCAUCGCAGCAAGUGAAAGUCUAUUUAAUCCUCCAGCUGGUAAACAACCCAAUCUGCAGCGCACAGCAAGCUCUGGAAGGAAACCUCCUUAUUGCUGAAGCUCAGUUUUCUUCCACUGGAAGGAGAAAGUCAACAGCUUCACAUGGGCCACCAGGGAUGGGGCCAGCAGCUCCGUAGUGUGAAAUACCCGCAGCAAAGUGCCCGAAGGCUGGAGCCAGCAGAGCUGUUGGUGGAACUCACAGGAAGGGACAGGCUCAGUUUUAGCCACGUUGGACUGUGGCAAAGCUCAACGCUGCAGGAAGGGAAGAUGCCACCUCUUGUCUGGGAAUGCACACAUGUUUGUGUAAAUAUGAUGUUGCACACACGCGAGCAUAUGUAGACCUGCAUAAACCAAAUGGCUAUUAAGUAUUACAGUUAUAUACAAAUAUAAUCACUCUAUUAAACAUAUAAUAUCUGUGAUGGCUCCACAGCAGCUCCCCAGCCUUGCACUGAACCCCAGGGCUGAUCUGGUUCCCUCAGAGCUGCCUGUCCCCAAGCCCUGGAGCCUGAGAACAGGAUGGGACCCCUGUGGUACCAGAAGCCUCCAAUGGGACUGGAAACACUCGGCAACUCAGAAGUCUGAAUGCUACUUCAUAUGGCAACAGUCACGGCUCCUGUUGCCGAGCUGGGGUGACCCUGCAGAAAUACCAACUUGGGGUUGUUUUGGCAGUGUGACAGCAGCCGUGCUCGUUCCGGGUAGGUUGGUUGGUCCUCUCUUCACCUCGUUGGUCACAGGGCUGCUCGAGAAGAGUCGUCACCUCUGCUCAUCAUCAAACCUUGGCCAAAACGCAGCGCAGGACAUGUCCAGCAUCACCUUUUCCUCACCACACUGACCUCGCACGUCCCAGCACAGUGCUCACCCAAGUGCUUUACAACCCCAACGUGCCCCAGGACCUUUCUCUGUUCCCCAGUGCGACGUGAGAGGCACCGGCAGAGCAGCACGAGGUGCUGGGACAACGAGCCAGCGCUGCCUCUGGGUCCUGCCAGCCAGAACACUGUGAGGACGUGAUUUUAACUGCGCAGUCACCUAUAUACAGCUUUGCAAAACCAAUUACCACCCUGUCUUAAAAUCCAGGAGGUGUGGGGCCUGGAUUUAUUGGAUUUGAGCAGAAAUUCAGAGAUGUGCAGGCACCUGCACUGCCUGCUCUGCUGUUGUAGUUCAGCAGAAAGCUCUGUGUCUAUCAGCUCAUACCUCCUCUCUCUCUUUGGAGUAUUUUGCAUCCCAACCACGAGCAUGUGGGAAGAGAGGAACAAAAAAGCCCUCCAGGCUUUGUCGGGAGAAAUGCACGGUCACAGUAAUACCACCACUGCCUUCCAUAGUGAUGGGGAAGGAGGCACAAGAACAAGGUGAAAAGAAAAGAGGUGAGCAAUUUUAAACAAAACCAAAAUCUUCCAUUAAAUUAAUUAUUGCUU